rnacentral:misc_RNA from 1 species
UAACGUAAAAGUGUGCACAAUAGUAUUUAAAAUGAGUACAAAAGAGUCUGAAACAAAAAAGUGUGAAGGAGAAAUAAUAUUCCGAUUACAUGAGGAUGGCAAAUCAUAUAACGAGAUUGCCGGAAUUGUGAACAGAAAUGGUCAAAAUUAUGUGUGGAGAAAACCAAAUACGGAAUUGGAAAUGCAACAUUUACAUUAAACAGUGAAACACGGAGGUGGCUCGGUCAUGGUGUGGGGGUGCACGGCUGCCAGUGGCACCGGAAAUUUGAUAUUUAUUGAUGGAAUACUUGAUAAAUGUAAGUAUUUAAAUAUUUUAAAAAAUAACC